CCUACGGGUGGCUGCAGUGAGGAAUAUUGGUCAAUGGGCGUAAGCCUGAACCAGCCAAGCCGCGUGAGGGAUGAAGGUUCUAUGGAUCGUAAACCUCUUUUAUAAGGGAAUAAAGUGCGGGACGUGUCCCGUUUUGUAUGUACCUUAUGAAUAAGGAUCGGCUAACUCCGUGCCAGUAGCCGCGGUAAUACGGAGGUUCCGAGCGUUAUCCGGAUUUAUUGGGUUUAAGGGGUGCGUAGGCGGCCUUUUAAGUCAGCGGUGAAAGGCGGUGGCUCAACCAUAGAAUUGCCGUUGAAACUGGGAGGCUUGAGUAUGGUUGAGGCAAGCGGAAUGCGUGGUGUAGCGGUGAAAUGCGUAGAUAUCACGCGGAACACCGGUGGCGAAGGCGGCCUGCCAGGCCAUAACUGACGCUGAUGCACGAAAGCGUGGGGAGCAAACAGGAUUAGAUACCCUUGUAGUC
rnacentral:rRNA from 1 species